CCUACGGGGGGCAGCAGUGGGGGAUAUUGCACAAUGGGGGGAACCCUGAUGCAGCGACGCCGCGUGGGUGAAGAAGCGCCUCGGCGCGUAAAGCCCUGUCAGCAGGGAAGAAAAUGACGGUACCUGAAGAAGAAGCCCCGGCUAACUACGUGCCAGCAGCCGCGGCAAUACGGAGGGGGCAAGCGUUAUCCGGAUUUACUGGGUGUAAAGGGGGCGCAGACGGCGAUGCAAGCCAGGAGUGAAAGCCUGGGGCCCAACCCCGGGACUGCACUUGGAACUGCGGGGCUGGAGUGCAGGAGGGGCAGGCGGAAUUCGUGGUGUAGCGGUGAAAUGCGUAGAUAUCAGGAGGAACACCGAUGGCGAAGGCAGCCUGCUGGACUGCAACUGACGUUGAGGCCCGAAAGCGUGGGGAGCAAACAGGAUUAGAUACCCCAGUAGUC
rnacentral:rRNA from 1 species